rfam:Gossypium raimondii Chr13_contig_508, whole genome shotgun sequence.
AAACCAUGCAUUGGACAUUUCCUAAGUAAUUCCUUGAAUCACUCCCAAGUUUCAUACAACUUCUUAUCCUUUGAUUGUCAAAAAGAUGUGAUAUCAUUCCUUAACUU